rnacentral:rRNA from 1 species
UUCCAAGAAAAGCUUCUAAGCUUCAGGUAACCAGGAACCGUACCCCAAACCGACACAGGUGGUCGGGUAGAGAAUACCAAGGCGCUUGAGAGAACUCGGGUGAAGGAACUAGGCAAAAUGGCACCGUAACUUCGGGAGAAGGUGCGCCGGCUAGGGUGAAGGAUUUACUCCGUAAGCUCUGGCUGGUCGAAGAUACCAGGCCGCUGCGACUGUUUAUUAAAAACACAGCACUCUGCAAACACGAAAGUGGACGUAUAGGGUGUGACGCCUGCCCGGUGCCGGAAGGUUAAUUGAUGGGGUUAGCGCAAGCGAAGCUCUUGAUCGAAGCCCCGGUAAACGGCGGCCGUAACAAUAACGGUCCUAAGGUAGCGAAAUUCCUUGUCGGGUAAGUUCCGACCUGCACGAAUGGCGUAACGAUGGCGGCGCUGUCUCCACCCGAGACUCAGUGAAAUUGAAAUCGCUGUGAAGAUGCAGUGUAUCCGCGGCUAGACGGAAAGACCCCGUGAACCUUUACUGUAGCUUUGCACUGGACUUUGAGCCUGCUUGUGUAGGAUAGGUGGGAGGCUUUGAAGCGUGGACGCCAGUUCGCGUGGAGCCAUCCUUGAAAUACCACCCUGGCAUGCUUGAGGUUCUAACUCUGGUCCGUAAUCCGGAUCGAGGACAGUGUAUGGUGGGCAGUUUGACUGGGGCGGUCUCCUCCUAAAGAGUAACGGAGGAGUACGAAGGUGCGCUCAGACCGGUCGGAAAUCGGUCGCAGAGUAUAAAGGCAAAAGCGCGCUUGACUGCGAGACAGACACGUCGAGCAGGUACGAAAGUAGGUCUUAGUGAUCCGGUGGUUCUGUAUGGAAGGGCCAUCGCUCAACGGAUAAAAGGUACUCCGGGGAUAACAGGCUGAUACCGCCCAAGAGUUCAUAUCGACGGCGGUGUUUGGCACCUCGAUGUCGGCUCAUCACAUCCUGGGGCUGAAGCCGGUCCUAAGGGUAUGGCUGUUCGCCAUUUAAAGUGGUACGCGAGCUGGGUUUAGAACGUCGUGAGACAGUUCGGUCCCUAUCUGCCGUGGACGUUUGAGAUUUGAGAGGGGCUGCUCCUAGUACGAGAGGACCGGAGUGGACGAACCUCUGGUGUUCCGGUUGUCACGCCAGUGGCAUUGCCGGGUAGCUAUGUUCGGAAAAGAUAACCGCUGAAAGCAUCUAAGCGGGAAACUUGCCUCAAGAUGAGAUCUCACUGGGAACUUGAUUCCCCUGAAGGGCCGUCGAAGACUACGACGUUGAUAGGCUGGGUGUGUAAGCGUUGUGAGGCGUUGAGCUAACCAGUACUAAUUGCCC